rnacentral:rRNA from 1 species
CGAGUUUGAUCCUGGCUCAGGAUGAACGCUGGCGGCGUGCCUAAUACAUGCAAGUCGAACGCACUAGUUUACUAGUGAGUGGCGAACGGGUGAGUAACACGUAGAUAAUCUGCCCUUAAGACGAGGAUAACCAUUGGAAACGAUGGCUAAAACUGGAUAGGAAUAUGUAAGGCAUCUUAUAUAUUUUAAAAGACCUAGCAAUAGGUAUACUUAAAGAGGAAUCUGCGGCGCAUUAGUUAGUUGGUAGUGUAAUGGACUACCAAGACGAUGAUGCGUAGCCGGACUGAGAGGUUGAACGGCCACAUUGGAACUGAGAAACGGUCCAAACUCCUACGGGAGGCAGCAGUAGGGAAUUUUCGGCAAUGGGGGAAACCCUGACCGAGCAACGCCGCGUGAAUGACGAAGUACUUCGGUAUGUAAAGUUCUUUUAUCAAGGAAGAAUGACUUAUGGAAAAAUAAAGUGUGACGGUACUUGAUGAAUAAGCCCCGGCUAACUAUGUG